rnacentral:rRNA from 1 species
CGUGCUUACACAUGCAAGUCGAACGAUGAAACUUCCUUCGGGAGGGGUAUUAGUGGCGAACGGGUGAGUAACACGUGGGCAAUCUGCCCUUCACUCUGGGACAAGCCCUGGAAACGGGGUCUAAUACCGGAUAUGACACGGGGUCGCAUGAUCUUCGUGUGGAAAGCUCCGGCGGUGAAGGAUGAGCCCGCGGCCUAUCAGCUUGUUGGUGGGGUGAUGGCCUACCAAGGCGACGACGGGUAGCCGGCCUGAGAGGGCGACCGGCCACACUGGGACUGAGACACGGCCCAGACUCCUACGGGAGGCAGCAGUGGGGAAUAUUGCACAAUGGGCGAAAGCCUGAUGCAGCGACGCCGCGUGAGGGAUGACGGCCUUCGGGUUGUAAACCUCUUUCAGCAGGGAAGAAGCGAGAGUGACGGUACCUGCAGAAGAAGCGCCGGCUAACUACGUGCCAGCAGCCGCGGUAAUACGUAGGGCGCAAGCGUUGUCCGGAAUUAUUGGGCGUAAAGAGCUCGUAGGCGGCUUGUCGCGUCGGAUGUGAAAGCCCGGGGCUUAACCCCGGGUCUGCAUUCGAUACGGGCAGGCUAGAGUUCGGUAGGG